AGGUCUCCGUAAUUACGUGUUGAUAUAACGGAGAAGUCAGCAGAGGUCGUAGUAGUUGCCGGAAAUGAGCUGAUAGUAAAAUCAGAGGUCUCACAAGCAACGAAGGAC
rnacentral:ncRNA from 1 species